AUUGAACGCUGGCGGCAGGCCUAACACAUGCAAGUCGAGCGGGGUUUUCGGACCUAGCGGCGGACGGGUGAGUAAUGCGUAGGAAGCUGCCCGAUAGAGGGGGAUACCAGUUGGAAACGACUGUUAACACCGCAUAAUGUCUACGGACCAAAGUGUGGGACCUUCGGGCCACAUGCUAUCGGAUGCGCCUACGUGGGAUUAGCUAGUUGGUGAGGUAAUGGCUCACCAAGGCGACGAUCUCUAGCUGGUUUGAGAGGAUGAUCAGACACACUGGAACUGAGACACGGUCCAGACUCCUACGGGAGGCAGCAGUGGGGAAUAUUGGACAAUGGGCGCAAGCCUGAUCCAGCCAUGCCGCGUGUGUGAAGAAGGCCUUCGGGUUGUAAAGCACUUUCAGCGAGGAGGAAGGGGUGUGUGUUAAUAGUACACACCUUUGACGUUACUCGCAGAAGAAGCACCGGCUAACUCUGUGCCAGCCGCCGCCGUAAGAC
rnacentral:rRNA from 1 species